AACCUUUACAAUGUGCGAAAGCAUGAUAAGGGAACUCCGAGUGCCAGCAUCUAAUGUUGGCUGUCCUUGUGCCUAAAACGCACAAGAUAGCAAGGGCCGGGUAAGACCGGUGCCAGCCGCCGCGGUAACACCGGCGGCCCGAGUGGUAGCCGCUAUUAUUGGGUCUAAAGGGUCCGUAGCCGGUUCGAUAAGUCCUCUGGGAAAUCUGGUUGCUUAACAAUCAGACUGCCAAGGGAUACUGUCGAACUUGAGACCGGGAGAGGUAAGAGGUACUUCAGGGGUAGGAGUGAAAUCUUGUAAUCCCUGGGGGACCAUCUGUGGCGAAGGCGUCUUACCAGAACGGGUCUGACGGUGAGGGACGAAAGCUGGGGGCGCAAACCGGAUUAGAUACCCGGGUAGCCCCAGCCGUAAACGAUGCUCGCUAUGUGUCAGGUACGGUGUGACCGUAUCUGGUGCCGUAGGGAAGCCGUGAAGCGAGCCACCUGGGAAGUACGGCCGCAAGGCUGAAACUUAA
rnacentral:rRNA from 1 species